AUGUUUGCUUCUACGUCAAGGUCUCGCAUCAACAAUCUUCGUCUCAAUCUGACGAACGCACAGAAGGGAAAUCAAUCUGCGACCACCUACUUUGGCCACAUGAGGUCCCUUGCGGACGAGCUCGCCAUGGCCGGAGAACCCAUCACCGAUGGGCAGCUACUCUCCUUCAUCAUCGCCGGCCUAGAUAUGGACUAUCAACCUAUUAUUUCGGCCCUGGAGGUUCGCACCGAUCAAGCCUCCGUCGACGAUCUCUUCUCUAUGGUGAGCAACUUCGACCAGCGUGUUGAACUUUUUCAUGGCAGUGGUGCUGGCGGCUUCAAGUCUUCAGCCAACCUGGCUGGACGCGGCCGCGGUGGUGGUGGCGGCUUUUCCAAGGGGCGAUCGCGCAAGGACAACAGCAGCAGCGGUGGCACCUACCCUAGCCAGGGCAGCAGAUAUCCUGGCCAAGGAGGUGGCGGCUACCACGACCCCAACAGUUACGGUGGUGGUGGGCAAUCCGGCGGCUAUGGGAUGGGUCACCCUCACCAAGGAGGCGGCAAUGGCUACCGUGGCCAGAACGCAGGCUAUGGUGGCAGUCAUGACAAUGGCCAUGGAGGCUACAACAACUACGGCUACAAUGGAGGCUACAACAACAACUAUCAAAAUUGUGGUGGUGGUGAUGUUAUUUGUCAAAUCUAUAAGAAACCUAAACACAUUGCAAAAGAUUGCAAGUGGCGCUAUGCAGAGGAUAACUCCAGGAAGAAGAAGGUAGCAGCUGCCAUUGACACUUCCUACGGAGUUGACACAAACUGGUACGCCGACACGGGUGCCACAGAACACAUAAUAGGUGAACUUGAGAAGAUCACCAUGCAUGAGAGAUACCAUGCCCAUGAUCAAAUCCAUAACGCCGAUGGGACAGGAUCAAGCCACGAGGAGAAUAAUUUAUCGAGGUACAUGCGUGGAUGGACUCUACCGUUGAUUCCGAAGUUUAGGAGACUCAAUAAACAAGUGCUCGGUGUCAUCAAACUUUCCUUAGAUAGAUGGCAUCAUCGUUUAGGCCACCCUGCUUUUUCUAUUGUUCAUCAAGUUCUUAGUAAAAAUAAGCUCCCGGCUGUUGGUGAGCAUAGUUUAGACACUAUUUGUGAUUCAUGUCAGAGAGCUAAAAGUCAUCAAUUACCAUAU
rnacentral:rRNA from 1 species